CUCGCGGAAAAGCUGCUCGAUUUCUCCGUCGCUCUUCGACGAUAGGCGCACCGUUCCACCGUUCCAUGAACCAUGUGUAUAGAUCUCUGAGAGGUGGGGAAAGCUUCGAGUCAUAGCGUGUAGAAAUCCACCACUGACACGGACCGAUAUGCAGGGACUGAAGUGUAUAUCAACGAGUAGCAGUCGACCAUCCCAUACCGGUUGGAGAAAACACUAGGUCUGUGGAAGAUGAUAUGGAAACGUAUCCAGUGUAGAGUUUAAACUUAACGCAGCCCACGCUUCUAGGGCUGCAAGAACCAAUUAAAUGCAAGUAGAAGGUCUCGACAGACAGACCGACUGGUUCGUGGCAGUGAAUGGAUGUAACGUCUAGAACGAGGAGACGCUGCAUUCGCCAGCAUUGGCCGGGCCUCGCUGAGUGCUGGAGACGCAAGUGUCGAAACGUCGAAUGGCAAGAGCGUCUCCUUUUUUCAGGGUGAUCAAGCGUAGUCUCGGAGGUGAAAGACGGAGAAAAGUGGAAGAAAAGGACUUUUCUGUGUUGAGCAGUGGAGGCGCCUUUCUCCCCUUCCGGCCGUACCUACAACCACGGUGAGGACGCUCGAGGGGAAGAUCUGCGGAGGUUCUUCUUCGUCUUCGCUAGCCCACAGACUGGCGGUUUCCAGAUUUUCUGCGUCUCCGAUCGGCGGUGCCAGCCGGCGAGCACUUAAGAAACAGCGAAUUUCAAGCCCGUUCUCCCCGCGUUUUUGACCUCGUUCUUCUUCCAGAAUUCUGCUGAUGUCGAGAGCUGCGACUGCCCAGUCUCGCUUUCCUCUUUUCUCUUUGCCUUUGCGAGAACCUUUCAAAGUCAGACGCACAGUGUCUCGGAGCUCUUUCGAGGCCCCACCCAUCCCUGCGGGAAACAGCCUGCACUUCCCCUCGACAGCAUAGACCUCAUCGGCGUCCGCUUCGCCUGUCUCGCCAUCCUCUCCCUCUUCCGGCGCUCCCAGUUCUUCUUCGUUUCCACUGUGCACCUUGCUUCUGCGGCGUCUUGCCGAGCUUCGGCCGAGACCUGGAGUUUGCUGAGGGCCUCUCAGCUUCGCCCUGAGGGCGACAAGAUAGCGCGGCGGAGUUUGGCUCUGGAUUUUGUGGGAGACGGGUAUGAAGAAAGAGAGUUUUUCGAACAGAAUGACGGGACCUGGCAGAUCCCAAGUUCCGCUGUCCUCGAAUGUUCGCCCGGCGUCUCGGCACUCGCCGCUCUCGAGAGCCUUCCAAGCUCGGGGCGCUCCCAACAUCUUCUCAGGCUCUUUCGGCCCUCUCUGCGGAGCUCCGUUUUCCGUCUUCUCUUCUGAGAAGGACGAAGAAGCUGUAGAGUGGUCAGGCCUCUUGCAGGCUUCGCGGGUCCCAUACACGGAGAGAAACAACGCCUCGAGACUCUGCGCUGGGGUCUCUGUCUCGCACUCGCCUCCCGACGGACCGUACGCCGAAGCAGGAAAUUUUAGCGAGAAGAAGCGACCUAACGGAACAGAAAGCACAAAAUCGUGCCACAGGAUAAACAAGAGAAAGAAAACACGCUCAAGCGCAUACAUAAAGAGAUAUGCGUCCCCUCCCACACACAUACAUACACACACAUGUGCAUAUAUUUGUCUAUAAGCUGGUGUGGCCGCGACAGUGUGUCUACCGCUUACUGAAAGUCAAACCGUCCACAGGGGAAAUGUAACUGGCCUAGCAUCCCUGCAUUGCUCAGAACUACGCGUGUACCAUUUUUGCCUUUGUAAAAGCGAAGGGAGGAACACACCAAGGGCAACCCGUAGGUCUGCCAGCUAUCUGGUUCUCCAGUUGCGCGGUUUAGUGAAGAGAGUUGAAGCUGGGAGCGCCCGUCGUGUGGGAGACGCCCGCGAGGCUGGUCGAAAUCUGUUCUGCAGCGUGUGUAUUUUUAGAGGGCUGUUUUCCCUGAAGUGCUACUCUAACUUUGUGUGUGGAGUUUGAGUGUUUUUGUAAAAGUCGAUACCUACGCUCUGCGGUUCAGCACGGAAACUGUAAUCGUGUUGCUUUCGACGUGACUGUUUCAAGAAUUGAUUCUUGGAAAGCAGCGAGGAAACGUCUCGCAGAACGCUCGUUGCCUCGAUGCUUUCUUCCCGACUCACCUGCUCCACUUGUGGCGGCGCCAAGCAUCGCGGCGUCCCGAGUAACAUUUGGGAGGUUUUCUGCCUGAACGGGGAAAACCUCUCGGGCAACAGUUCCUGUGGGGGCAAGAUCGACAAGGGCGGCGAUGCUGCAGUCAAAGAAAAGAGAAGUCGAGGAGGCGGAAGAAGACAAAAUGCGUUCUGAGGAAGUGUGAAUCCCCGACGCUCAAGAACCGUUUUUCCACUUCAACAAAUGCUCUUAGAAUACAAGGAAAAAGCCGCACGCAUAGUGCUAAACGAGAAGACUUCCAUGAUGUGUUGGGAAGAAAGGACAUCCAAAAAUUCGGAACUUCCCUUCUUUUACCUAAACAGUGGCGAGUAGGAUUAGAAGAAACCUGUAUCUGUUUACCACUUAGGAACGGCAUUUUAAGUUGCUAAGCUAGAACUUCAAACAAGAGGAGUCGGCGUUAUCGAAGCCGCCAUGAAACCGAGAGACGGAAAAAUUCGAGAGUCAAAGGGCAAGAAGUCCAAGCGCCGGAGAGGCGAAAAAGGAACCUGCAUAAAAUACGUGUAGUCGGCUUCAUGUGAAUACCUGCUUUCGACACAUUCAAUUAUGUGGUUUGUUGUAUUCUUGGCUUGGAUAUAAAGACCUCUGCUUUCCUUUUUUCAUCCCGUCUAACGCUCUACUCAGUCUCUUUGAAGAGAUUAAAAGCUCG
rnacentral:lncRNA from 1 species